rnacentral:lncRNA from 1 species
GCCUCAAUUCAAAGAAAGUUGGAGUCAGCUAUGUGAAUCGUCAGAAACAAUUACGCCUCAAUUCCAACAAAGUUGGAACUAUGACUCGAUUCCAAGAGAGUUGGAGUCGCACCUCAAUUCCAAGAAAGUAGGAGUCAGGUAUGUGAAUCGUCGCCUCAAUUCCAAUAAAGUUGGAAUCGCGCCUCAAUUCCAAUAAAGUUGGAGUCAGCUAUGUGAAUUGUCACAACCAAUUAUACCCUCGAUUCCAAGAAAGUUGGAAGUAGGACUCUGACUCCAAGAAAGUUGGACUUCGCGCCUCAAUUCAAAGAAAGUUGGAGUCAGCUAUGUGAAUCGUCAGAAACAAUUACGCCUCAAUUCCAACAAAGUUGGAACUAUGACUCGAUUCCAAGAGAGUUGGAGUCGCACCUCAAUUCCAGGAAAGUAGGAGUCAGGUAUGUGAAUCGUCGCCUCAAUUCCAAUAAAGUUGUAAUCGCGCCUCAAUUCCAAUAAAGUUGGAGUCAGCUAUGUGAAUUGUCACAACCAAUUAUACCCUCGAUUCCAAGAAAGUUGGAAGUAGGACUCUGACUCCAAGAAAGUUGGACUUCGCGCCUCAAUUCAAAGAAAGUUGGAGUCAGCUAUGUGAAUCGUCAGAAACAAUUACGCCUCAAUUCCAACAAAGUUGGAACUAUGACUCGAUUCCGAGAAAGUUGGAGUCGCACCUCAAUUCCAGGAAAGUAGGAGUCAGGUAUGUGAAUCGUCGCCUCAAUUCCAAUAAAGUUGUAAUCGCGCCUCAAUUCCAAUAAAGUUGGAGUCAGCUAUGUGAAUUGUCACAACCAAUUAUACCCUCGAUUCCAAGAAAGUUGGAAGUAGGACUCUGACUCCAAGAAAGUUGGACUUCGCGCCUCAAUUCAAAGAAAGUUGGAGUCAGCUAUGUGAAUCGUCAGAAACAAUUACGCCUCAAUUCCAACAAAGUUGGAACUAUGACUCGAUUCCGAGAAAGUUGGAGUCGCACCUCAAUUCCAAGAAAGUAGGAGUCAGGUAUGUGAAUCGUCGUCACAAACAAUUACGCCUCAAUUCCAAGAAAGUUGGAAGUAUGACUCGAUUACAAGAAAGUUGGAGUCAUGCUUCAAUCCCAAGAAAGUUGGAGACGGCUAUGUAAAUCAUCGUCAAGAAGAAAAGGCUUUU